rnacentral:rRNA from 1 species
GGUCAGUCCUCCGGGAAAUCUGAUAGCUCAACUAUUAGGCUUUCGGGGGAUACUGCCAGACUUGGAACCGGGAGAGGUAAGAGGUACUACAGGGGUAGGAGUGAAAUCUUGUAAUCCCUGUGGGACCACCUGUGGCGAAGGCGUCUUACCAGAACGGGUUCGACGGUGAGGGACGAAAGCUGGGGGCACGAACCGGAUUAGAUACCCGGGUAGUCCCAGCCGUAAACGAUGCUCGCUAGGUGUCAGGCAUGGCGCGACCGUGUCUGGUGCCGCAGGGAAGCCGUGAAGCGAGCCACCUGGGAAGUACGGCCGCAAGGCUGAAACUUAAAGGAAUUGGCGGGGGAGCACAACAACGGGUGGAGCCUGCGGUUUAAUUGGACUCAACGCCGGACAACUCACCGGGGGCGACAGCAAUAUGUAGGCCAAGCUGAAGACUUUGCCUGAAUCGCUGAGGGGAGGUGCAUGG